UGGGGGAUAUUGCACAAUGGGCGAAAGCCUGAUGCAGCGACGCCGCGUGGGGGAUGAAGGCCUUCGGGUUGUAUACUUCUUUUGCUCUGAACAAGGCGCACCAUGGGGUGUGUUGAGUGUAGGGGUUGAUUAGCGCCGGCUAACUACGUGCCAGCAGCCGCGGUAAUACGUAGGGCGCGAGCGUUGUCCGGAAUUAUUGGGCGUAAAGGGCUUGUAGGUGGCUGGUUGCGUCUGUCGUGAAAGCUCAUGGCUUAACUGUGGGUUUGCGGUGGGUACGGGCUGGCUUGAGUGCAGUAGGUGAGGCUGGAAUUCCUGGUGUAGCGGUGGAAUGCGCAGAUAUCAGGAGGAAUACCGGUGGCGAAGGCGGGUCUCUGGGCUGUUACUGACACUGAGGAGCGAAAGCAUGGGGAGCGAACAGG
rnacentral:rRNA from 1 species